CCGUCAUAUACCAUAAACCCAUUUCUCCUCCAUUACCUCUUCUCCAUCCUCCAUCCCAAACCUAUUUUGUCACGACCAUUCACCCCUUCUUCAAACACCACCAUCACAUUACGGAAAGCGACAACAUGGAGGUUAGGAAUAGGUUCCACCUAGCGAAUCGUCUCUAUCCAUAGCAAAUCAUUGUCAUCGCUUCGCGCUCCUGUACUACAUUUGAGAUCUGAAAGCUAGAAUUGGGCCCGUGAUCUCAAAUCUGAACAAUAUUUUGUCCAAAGUAGGUGCUCAAAUUUGAGUAUGGCUUUCAGUUCGCACCGCUGCAGCCAGUCCACCGUCGAAAGUGAAAUGGUAGGUAUUUGUAGGUUGUUUGGGGCCAUGUACAGUCUAUGUUGCUGGCGGUAGGGUUAUGUUGGUAAUGGUGGUGCUAUUAGGUUUGUAUUGGUGUGGGUGUGGUGGUAUGUGACCAACUAUUUAUUGCCUGUUUGGGAGUGAUUUUGAGAAUUGAUUUUUUGACCGUUAGGAGAAAAGUGGGGUCCACCUAUGAAAAAAGAAGUCAAAUAUGACGACUGAAAUAGUAAAAUAACGGUCAAAAAAUUAAUUUUUUGAAUUAAAAAAUCGAGCCCAAAUAGGCUUUUAAUAUAUGUG
rnacentral:lncRNA from 1 species